rnacentral:rRNA from 1 species
AGUGAACGCUGGCGGUAGGCCUAACACAUGCAAGUCGAACGGCAGCACAGUAAGAGCUUGCUCUUACGGGUGGCGACUGGCGGACGGGUGAGGAAUACAUCGGAAUCUACUUUUUCGUGGGGGAUAACGUAGGGAAACUUACGCUAAUACCGCAUACGACCUACGGGUGAAAGCAGGGGAUCUUCGGACCUUGCGCGAUUGAAUGAGCCGAUGUCGGAUUAGCUAGUUGGCGGGGUAAAGGCCCACCAAGGCGACGAUCCGUAGCUGGUCUGAGAGGAUGAUCAGCCACACUGGAACUGAGACACGGUCCAGACUCCUACGGGAGGCAGCAGUGGGGAAUAUUGGACAAUGGGCGCAAGCCUGAUCCAGCCAUACUGCGUGGGUGAAGAAGGCCUUCGGGUUGUAAAGCCCUUUUGUUGGGAAAGAAAAGCAGCAGGUUAAUACCCCGCUGUUCUGACGGUACCCAAAGAAUAAGCACCGGCUAACUUCGUG